AUGCUCAAUUCUGUCAAUUGCUCAACAAUAAUUUGUUCACCCACCGUAGAAUACUUAUGCUCUCGAGAGAAGCCACUAGUGAAACCUAUGGCCCCCGGGUCUAUCUUUAUCAUAUUAAUCUCCUACUACUUAGUUAUUUACUUUGCUAUUUUACUUUGCCUUUAUUUUACUUUGCAUCUUUAUCAUAAAAAUACCAAAAAUAUUAUCUUAUCAUAUCUAUCAGAUCUCACUCUCAUAAGUGGCCCUAUAGGGAUUGACAACCCCUAUUUGCGUUGGUUGCGAGGAUUUAUUUGUUUUGUGCAGGUACGAGGGACUUGCGUGUAG
rnacentral:rRNA from 1 species